UACGGAGGGGGCUAGCGUUGUUCGGAAUUACUGGGCGUAAAGCGUGCGCAGGCGGUUAUGCAAGACAGAUGUGAAAUCCCCGGGCUCAACCUGGGAACUGCAUUUGUGACUGCAUGGCUAGAGUACGGUAGAGGGGGAUGGAAUUCCGCGUGUAGCAGUGAAAUGCGUAGAUAUGCGGAGGAACACCGAUGGCGAAGGCAAUCCCCUGGACCUGUACUGACGCUCAUGCACGAAAGCGUGGGGAGCAAACAGG
rnacentral:rRNA from 1 species